UACAGAGACUGCAAGCGUUAUUCGGAUUCACUGGGCGUAAAGGGUGCGCAGGUUGUAAUGUGUGUCAUAUGUGAAAUACCGGAGCUUAACUCCGGUGCUGCGUCUGAAACUGCAUUACUAGAGCAUUGGAGAGGAAAGUGGAAUUCACGGUGUAGCAGUGAAAUGCGUAGAUAUCGUGAGGAACACCAGAGGCGAAGGCGACUUUCUGGACAAUUGCUGACACUCAAGCACGAAAGCGUGGGGAUCAAAAGGG
rnacentral:rRNA from 1 species